GUCCAGACUCCUACGGGAGGCAGCAGUGGGGAAUAUUGCACAAUGGGGGAAACCCUGAUGCAGCGACGCCGCGUGAGCGAUGAAGUAUUUCGGUAUGUAAAGCUCCAUCAGCAGGGAAGAAGAUGACGGUACCUGGCUAAGAAGCCCCGGCUAACUACGUGCCAGCAGCCGCGGUAAUACGUAGGGGGCAAGCGUUAUCCGGAUUUACUGGGUGUAAAGGGAGCGUAGACGGCGAUGCAAGCCAGAUGUGAAAGCCCGGGGCUCAACCCCGGGACUGCAUUUGGAACUGUGUGGCUGGAGUGUCGGAGAGGCAGGCGGAAUUCCUAGUGUAGCGGUGAAAUGCGUAGAUAUUAGGAGGAACACCAGUGGCGAAGGCGGCCUGCUGGACGAUGACUGACGUUGAGGCUCGAAAGCGUGGGGAGCAAACAGGAUUAGAUACCCUCGUAG
rnacentral:rRNA from 1 species